AGCUCCAAUAGCGUAUAUUAAAGUUGUUGCAGUUAAAAAGCUCGUAGUUGGAUUUCUGUUUUAAAGGUUCGGUCGUGUCCUCGUGACACGUACCAGAGGCUUUGAAGCAUAUUUUGUGAGGAGUCUUGCUGGCAUUAAGUUGUUGGUUUGGCGGCUUGCAUCGUUUACUGUGAAAAAAUUAGAGUGUUUCAAGCAGGCGUUUGCUUUUGAAUACAUUAGCAUGGAAUAAUAGGAUAUGACUCGCGUGGUCUAUUUUGUUGGUUUGCACACGCAAGUAAUGAUUAAUAGGGACAGUUGGGGGUAUUCAUAUUUGAGCGUCAGAGGUGAAAUUCUUGGAUCGCUGAAAGAUGAGCUUAGGCGAAAGCAUUUAUCAUGGAUGUUUUCAUUA
rnacentral:rRNA from 1 species